CACUCCUACGGGAGGCAGCAGUGGGGAAUUUUGGACAAUGGGCGAAAGCCUGAUCCAGCAAUGCCGCGUGAGUGAAGAAGGCCUUCGGGUUGUAAAGCUCUUUUGUCAGGGAAGAAACGGUGAGAGCUAAUAUCUCUUGCUAAUGACGGUACCUGAAGAAUAAGCACCGGCUAACUACGUGCCAGCAGCCGCGGUAAUACGUAGGGUGCAAGCGUUAAUCGGAAUUACUGGGCGUAAAGCGUGCGCAGGCGGUUUUGUAAGUCUGAUGUGAAAUCCCCGGGCUCAACCUGGGAAUUGCAUUGGAGACUGCAAGGCUAGAAUCUGGCAGAGGGGGGUAGAAUUCCACGUGUAGCAGUGAAAUGCGUAGAUAUGUGGAGGAACACCGAUGGCGAAGGCAGCCCCCUGGGUCAAGAUUGACGCUCAUGCACGAAAGCGUGGGGAGCAAACAGGAUUAGAUACCCUGGUAGUCCCAUGA
rnacentral:rRNA from 1 species